rnacentral:rRNA from 1 species
UGGGGAAUCUUGCACAGUGGGGGCAACCCUGAUGCAGCGACGCCGCGUGAGCGAUGAAGCCCUUCGGGGCGUAAAGCUCUUUCGACCGGAACGAUAAUGACGGUACCGGGAGAAGAAGCUGCGGCUAACUACGUGCCAGCAGCCGCGGUAAUACGUAGGCAGCAAGCGUUGUUCGGAGUUACUGGGCGUAAAGAGUGCGUAGGCGGUUUUCUAAGUUCGGUGUGAAAUCUCCCGGCUUAACUGGGAGGGUGCGCCGAAGACUGGGAAGCUAGAGUGUGGGAAAGGCAGGCGGAAUUCCUGGUGUAGCGGUGAAAUGCGUAGAUAUCAGGAGGAACAUCGGCGGUGUAGACGGCUUGCUAGACCAUAACUGACGCUGAGGCACGAAAGCGUGGG